rnacentral:lncRNA from 1 species
UUUUGAUGCCUAGCCUGCCUUUUGCCAUAUAGGUUCACUAUUUUUUACCACCUCUUUCACUUCUUCAUAUGCAAGGCAGACUCUAGAACAUUGUCUGAAACCACGUGUUGGGAAGCUUAGUUCUAUUUUCCCAAAAUUCCAAAUUUUAGGAAAAUUUGAAGUUACAUACCAAAUUAUACCACUUGGAGUACUUGUUCAAAUAAAGAUUUAUCAACAUUCAGAUUUGCCAACUUUCAUUUUUGAUAACGUUGGUCGAAAUGGGUGUAAAAUAUUCAAACAAAGUUGAUGGUUCCCUCUCCCUAGCUGGCGAAAUCACAGAACUGCUCCUUGAUGAUAAUAGAGGUUUUGGUGGUGGUGUUGAGGAGGACUUUGACGGUAGUGGAUAUAAAAUUAAUCAUGUCAUAAAUAGUCAAGUGCAAGAUAUGUGAUAGUUUAAGCAAUUUUCUAUGGUUUCCGCGCAUGUUAGAUGCUCAUUCUUGCCAACUUUUUUUACAUUAUCUCAUUUUUCUACAAUUUUUGUGGCAAAUGAUGGCGACAACAUUGAAGAAAUUGUCAGAAAUAAAAGAACACGAUACCAUGCCGUUGAAUUUCUCUGACCGUUUUGCCCUCAAUUAAAAAAUAAAAUUCCAGUUGACAACAAAUGGUACAAUUAAGGAAUAAAAUUUCAAAGAUAAUAUUUCAAAAUAAGUAAUACAGCAUAUAUUAGAGAUAAAAUCCACCUCUUAAUUCAAGGGCAGAGCUAGGAAAUUAUACCAAUGUAUGUAGAGACCUAGAGUUGCCAAUUGCCAUUGACUCCUGGUAGGGGGUGGGCGUGACCACGUGAGUUAGUUUUGAGAACAAUCUAAAAUUGAAGCCGACCAAGUUGGUUUCAAUAAAUUCCACC